rnacentral:rRNA from 1 species
UGGGGAAUAUUGCGCAAUGGGGGAAACCCUGACGCAGCAACGCCGCGUGGGUGAUGAAGGCCCUCGGGUCGUAAAGCCCUGUCGGGCGGGACGAACAGUCGCGGGUGAAUAAUCCGACGACUUUGACGGUACCGCCAAAGGAAGCACCGGCUAACUCCGUGCCAGCAGCCGCGGUAAUACGGAGGGUGCGAGCGUUGUUCGGAAUUACUGGGCGUAAAGAGCUUGUAGGCGGCUCGUUAAGUCUGAUGUGAAAGCCCUCGGCUCAACCGGGGAAGUGCAUUGGAUACUGGCGAGCUUGAGUAUGGGAGAGGAGAGCGGAAUUCCCGGUGUAGAGGUGAAAUUCGUAGAUAUCGGGAGGAACAUCUGUGGCGAAGGCGGCUCUCUGGACCAAUACUGACGCUGAGAAGCGAAAGCGUGGGGAGCAAGCAGGAUUAGAUACCCUGGUGGUCCACGCCGUAAACGAUGGGUACUAGGUGUUGGGGGUUAUACCCCGUCAGUGCCGGAGCUAACGCU